GUAGGAAUCUGCCCAUUUGAGGGGGAUCCCAGUGGGCCACGACUGAUAAUACCGCCUAAUAUCUGUGGAUUAAAGGUGGCUUUCGGGCUGGCGCAGAUGGAUGAGCCUGCGUUGGAUUAGCUAGUUGGUGGGGUAAGGGCCCACCAAGGCUACGAUCCUUAGCUGAUUUGAGAGGAUGAUCAGCCACAUUGGGACUGAGACACGGCCCAAACUCCUACGGGAGGCAGCAG
rnacentral:rRNA from 1 species